CCAAAAUAAAUAGGAUUAGACGUUGUUCAUAAAUAAGACACGAAGUGAAUGGUUUUCGAUAUACAAAAUGAAUAAUUUUUAUUAAAACAUUUUAAAAAACAAGGGAUUUUACGAGACUAUUCAAUAUUUCACCUAACAAUGGCGGAUCUUGGGCAAAAAAAUUUGGGGGGCCAAGGUUUGAUCCUUGGACCUUUUGCUAAUAAGUAACAAUACUUAACCACUAUAUCAUAACUUUUUAAGUGUAAUUAUUAGACAUUAUAUUAGUUAAAACAAAUAACUUAGAAAAAUUAAAAGGGGUCGGGCCCUGAUCAGCUAUAAUGAAGGUCCGCCCUUGCUUCCUAACACCACUGAUGAGUGUCAUUUCCGACACUAUUUAUAUCUAUGUUCCUUAGAUUUUGGGUUAUUGGGUGGUUUUAGAAGAUAAAAAGAUGAAUCAAAUAGAGGAGUCAAUGUGAAGCACAAAUGGAAGUUCAUUCUGAGGAACUUGAGAAACUGACGAAGAAGAAAAGAGCUUGCUAAGCACGUUUUGUUCGUCUAGGUUCAUUGAAUUCAUGAAUUUGGGAAGUGUUGGGGAAUAUUUUACAAGAUCUACAACAGUUGGAAAAGAUAUGUAUGAAUAAAGAGAAGAUCUUAUCAAUAGGUUAAGAUAUGGAAAAAGAUAUAUUUUCCUAAUCUUAUCUAAUUACUUUCCUUAUCUUUAAAAGAUUCCCACUUACUUGUUAGCCUAUUUAAAGCCACGAAAUUAGGGAGACACUGGAGACUAGAGCCGCGAGAGAAGGGGACUUUUCGUCACAGUUUGUGAUACAUUUCAGCAGAGGAACUCGAAGCUGUCUGAGAGGAGCUCAGAUCCGAAUCUGAGGAACUUGAUGGGUUCUUGUUUCGUUUUCUUUUCUUAUCUUUGUGUUAUGAGUCCUUAAUUUGUUAUGCUCAGUAACUAUUAGUUUGAAGCCACGUAUUAAAUAUUUGAGACGAGUAAUGUCGGUUUUGAUGAUUAAUGCUUUGGAGCUUUGGAGUAUUCUUGAAUUAUUGUUUUGUUCAUACGAAUGAUGAUUUCUUAUAAGUAGGUGUACAACUAUUUGUUUGGGUUUAAUUUCUUUUGCUAAUUAAUACUACUAAGUCUGUAAUUGCUUGGGACAUUAUUAAUGAAGUAGCAAACAAUUGUAGA